rnacentral:rRNA from 1 species
UACGGGGGGGGCAAGCGUUGUUCGGAAUUACUGGGCGUAAAGCGCACGUAGGCGGACAUUUAAGUCAGGGGUGAAAUCCCGGGGCUCAACCCCGGAACUGGCCUUUGAUACUGGUGUCUGGAGUCCGGAAGAGGUGAGUGGAAUUCCGAGUGUAGAGGUGAAAUUCGUAGAUAUUCGGAGGAACACCAGUGGCGAAGGCGGCUCACUGGUCCGGUACUGACGCUGAGGUGCGAAAGCGUGGGGAGCAAACAGGG